GAUGAACGCUAGCGGCAGGCUUAAUACAUGCAAGUCGAGGGGUAGCAAGAUUGUAGCAAUACAAUUGCUGACGACCGGCAAACGGGUGCGGAACACGUACACAACCUUCCUACAAGUGGGGAAUAGCCCAGAGAAAUUUGGAUUAAUACCCCGUAACAUAGCGAUGUGGCAUCACAUUGCUAUUAUAGCUUCGGCGCUUGUUGAUGGGUGUGCGGCUGAUUAGAUAGUUGGCGGGGUAACGGCCCACAAAGUCUACGAUCAGUAGCUGAUGUGAGAGCAUGAUCAGCCACACGGGCACUGAGACACGGGCCCGACUCCUACGGGAGGCAGCAGUAAGGAAUAUUGGACAAUGGACGCAAGUCUGAUCCAGCCAUGCCGCGUGAAGGAUUAAGGUCCUCUGGAUUGUAAACUUCUUUUAUAAGGGACGAAAAAAGGUCUUUCUAGAUCGUCUGACGGUACCUUAUGAAUAAGCACCGGCUAACUCCGUGCCAGCCGCCGCGGUAAAAC
rnacentral:rRNA from 1 species